rnacentral:rRNA from 1 species
GUGGGGAAUAUUGCACAAUGGGCGCAAGCCUGAUGCAGCGACGCCGCGUGGGGGAUGACGGCCUUCGGGUUGUAAACUCCUUUCGCCAGGGACGAAGCGUUUUGUGACGGUACCUGGAGAAGAAGCACCGGCUAACUACGUGCCAGCAGCCGCGGUAAUACGUAGGGUGCAAGCGUUGUCCGGAAUUACUGGGCGUAAAGAGCUCGUAGGUGGUUUGUCACGUCGUCUGUGAAAUUCCACAGCUUAACUGUGGGCGUGCAGGCGAUACGGGCUGACUUGAGUACUGUAGGGGUAACUGGAAUUCCUGGUGUAGCGGUGAAAUGCGCAGAUAUCAGGAGGAACACCGAUGGCGAAGGCAGGUUACUGGGCAGUUACUGACGCUGAGGCUCGAAAGCGUGGGGAGCGAACAGGAUUAGAUACCCUGGUAGUCCACGCCGUAAACGAUGAGUGCUAGGUGUUGGAUCCUUUCCGGGAUUCAGUGCCGCAGCUAACGCAUUAAGCACUCCGCCUGGGGUUUUNNGUCCGCAAGGUUG